rnacentral:lncRNA from 1 species
AACUUUCUGACUCCGCCGCUGGUUAUGAUGAAUAGAAAAGAGAUCGAGAAGAGAGAAAAAAAGUAGUGAUGAAUUGUCAACCAAGAUAUCUUUGAGAAGAAAUAAAUUAAUUAACGAACGAACGAACGAACGUGUAUGUAAUAGAUUACACUACAAGAAAAAAGAUCUUUAAGGACGGUCAGAAUCCGUCCCUAAUGAUCAAAUAAAACCGUCGUUAAUUGAUAAUUUAAUUAGAGACGGAAAAUGGCCGUCCCUGCAAGUAGCCUCGCCGACUUUC